ACAAUAAUUCAUUAUUAAUCGACUCUUUGUCUGUAUGGAGACACCAAGGGUAGUUCCUUUGCCUGCCAAUAGCUUCUAUACGCUUUGAGUAUUUCGGAGCUUUAACUGCUCGGUUUUUCCAGCAGGAUGGUCGCUAACUUUCUGUCACCUAACCUUUACACACUUUGGGGUUAAACACAGGUUACACCGUAAUCUGCCCGCAUCCCAUUAUUGGCGUUGCGGAAGUGCGGGAAAAACAAAUACACCGUCCGGUGUAGGUGUUAUUUGUAUUGAAGGGUAACCACUGACGGACCAUCCCUAACAUUAAGAAAUUCCGCAUGCGUUUGCGCUUGAGCACUGCAACUCUGUGCGAUGCUUUCACCCCUGUUUUUACACACAUAUUCUAUGCCAUAGUUUAUCGACUGAAAGACAAAGACAGAACUACUUAUGAGAAAAGAGAUGCUACCUCAUUCCAAAUACCUUUCUAACCGAUUUCUUACAUGUACACAUGCGCCCUCGGAUGCGUUCGCAAAUUAGAUUAUAUUUUUUUCACUUUUUCCUGCUUUUAAUUAGAGAACUUUGUCUUUUAAUAAAAAGCUUCUCUGACUCAAUAAAAUGAAAUGUUUUUCUUUAAAGAUAAAUUUGAAAAAUGAAACUUUUUCUCCGUCUUUGACAGCAUACUAUAUCUCUAGAAUAAGUUCUAUGAUUAUUUAUAGUUCCCUAGAGUUUUUACCCCCAAAAGAUAACGAACUAAAAUAAAAGAAUUCACGAAAAUUACAAAUUCUACCCUUAAAGCUCUAACCAGAAAGAAAAUAAGGGUAAACGUAAUAGGAUUAGUUCAACACGAAGUUUUAGCUACAAAGCCAAAUAAUUUUUAAAUUUUGCUCGUAAUGCAGUCAAUUUUCUUAUCAAUGAGGAAUCUAUUUUGAAGUCUAACGAAGUACGAGGGUGCAAUGUAACAUAAGGUAAAAUUCGCUUUGAAUGUAAGAUUCAAACUACCCUCAAACGUAUGAAAACGAGCCAAGAAAUUUAAAAUAGGGUGUACGGCACAAGAGAAUGUUUAGGGGUGAAUGUGCAGUAAGAAGGGAUGAACACAAAGCGUGCGCUGUGAGAAUCCACGUACGUCGUUCCCGUUCUUUCGUUUUUUAUCGGGUUAUAUUUGGCGAGAGGAUAGAUGCCAACCAAUCGCCGUUGAACCAGCAGACGGAUAGAAGUUCCCGGGGCUGCCAAAGCUGCCACUCGGUAUCGUAUAGUCCCGUUUACAACAAUUUUAUGAAUUGUGCAAUAAUAUUAUUUACGAUUUUGAUCAAGCGCGAACUUGUGGUGCUUUAAUUUUAGGAUUAACCCCAAAAAAAAUCUCACGUCAAUUUUCCGGCUUCCGAAUUCUUUGUUCUCAAUUCUGCUUUCUUUGCCCUUUUAAAAUUUUUGUUUGUUUGGAUUUCAUCUUUAUUUUUGUGCAACAACUUGCGGGUUAAUGUGCAGAUAAGGGAUCGAUGUGAGAAAAUUGUUGAAUGACUUAAGUGUGACUUUAUUGGAAUAAGUAUUGACAUAGGAUUGGUCUCACCCCCACAUUUCGUACUUUUUACAAAGAAGAGGUGCUACAAUUGAAUUGGGCGCAACGAACGUCGGUCUUUUUUCAAUAUCGGUUUAAAUUUGCCGGAUCUUCCCGCAAGGAAGUUUGUUGCUGUACUACUGGGGAUCGCUAUAAACUAUGCGAAAGUAAACGCAGGAUGAACUGCCACAGAAGGCACAAUUGUAUUCGG